UUAUGUGUGCAUGAGAAUGCAAAAGCACAAACGGAUAAUGCCCUUUUUUUUUUGCCUAAAUGCAAGGCUAAUGUAUACAGAACUGUGGAAUGUACUUGGAGACCGAAGGGAGCACUAUGCAAGCAGAUCUUCCAGGCAAGCAGAUGUGGCAAGGGAAGAUAUGUGGCUAGGAGUGGGAAUGUGCUGCUCUGCUUUGCAGGAGCAGACAAGGGAAUGAUGUUCAGGGGAGCUGCUCUCCCUGUCUGAGGCCACAGAUCAAAAUGAGCCAAAGCUUCUCCCAGCCAUAAAAUGUAAGUGGUCUUAAGUCUGACAUCUUGGACACUUCCAGGUCUAGACAUGAGUGGCGAGUCCCAUUAGCAAAGUGGUCUUCUCCGCGUCCCAGUGAUAUAACGCUCCUAUUCAUAGCUCCGCCAAAUGUGAUAUAGAGGACUUUAAAGUUUGACAUUUUUAUUCAAGGAAAGCUAUUACUGACCUAGGACUGCUUCUUGCCUGGAGAGCAAUUCCACAUCUUUGGAGCAGACAUUUCCUUGACAGGUGAUUUCAUUUCUUCUCCUCCUCAAGCAUUAUUCAGCCUGACGGCUGCCUUUAAAUCCACACUAUAGUAACCUAGCUGAAAAGAACCUGGGAAAAUAAGCUAAGACAGCCAGACAAAGGGAGGUGUAGGGGAGCAGGGAGAAACCAAGAUGAGAAGAAAAAGAAAGUUGCCACACGCUGCAGUGAGCUGUCAGUAUAAACCUGAAAGACAUGUCAAGGCUCAUGGAUUCCCUUGUGAAAGCAAACGGAUGAUCUCUGCAUCAUUUAUCAAGUGCUGCAGGU